UGGCUCUCGCAUCGAUGAAGAACGCAGCGAAAUGCGAUAAGUAAUGUGAAUUGCAGAUUUUCAGUGAAUCAUCGAAUCUUUGAACGCACCUUGCGCCCCAUGGUAUUCUGUGGGGCAUGCCUGUUUGAGUGUCAUGAAAUUAUCAACCCUCUGAAGUUUCACAACUAAGGAGUUGGAUUGGACUUGUGGCGUGCCAGUCAAUAAUAAUUGAUUGGCUCCCAUUUAAAUGUAUUAGCAGAGCCACUCCCCUCCGGCUAGCAUUGACGUGAUAAUUCUCUUGCGUCGCUGUUUCCGGUCUUAGAGUCUGCUUAUAAUGAUCUCUCUGGAGAUAAAUCUUGACAAUUUGACCUCAAAUCAGGUAGGAUUACCCGCUGA
rnacentral:misc_RNA from 1 species